rnacentral:rRNA from 1 species
UAGGGAAUAUUGGUAAUCUGGGAAACCGGGAACCAGCAACGCCGCGUGCGCGAUGAAGACCUUCGGGUUGUAAAGCGCUUUUUGAGAGGAUGAGGAAGGACAGUACUCUUAGAAUAAGCCUCGGCUAACUACGUGCUAGCAGCCGCGGUAAGACGUAGGAGGCGGGCGUUAUCCGGAUGUACUGGGCGUAAAGCGUGUGUAGGCGGUUUGAUAAGUUGGAUGUGAAAGCUCCUGGCUUAACUGGGAGAGGUCGUUCAAAACUAUCAGACUUGAGAGUGGUAGAGGGAGGUGGAAUUCCGCAUGUAGUGGUGAAAUGCGUAGAUAUGCGGAGGAACACCAGUGGCGAAAGCGGCCUCCUGGCCCAUUUCUGACGCUCAGACACGAAAGCUAAGGUAGCAAACG